ACAGAAGGGGAAUACGAGAGAAGGGGAAAUAGAGAGGGGUAAAACGAGAGAAGAGGGAGAGCUCAAAGGAGGGGGGAUUAGAGAACGGGAAGGUGAGGGGAAGGGAGAGGCGCUGCCAGUGGUGACCACAGCCACCGUCGCCGCUGACCUUUAGAGGAAAACGAGAGUGAGAGAGAGACACACACAGAACGCGCGACCCGAGGAAGAGAAGGAGCUCGUCUUCGUUGCUGCCAUCGCUGCGCCAUGCUGCCGCUGCCGUGCCUUGCCGCCGCUGCCGGUGGAAGGAACCAAACAAGGAUAGGAGGUCGCUGUUGAUGCUGCCGCAGAGAGGAAGGAAGGGACGCGUGUGAGAAAGUGACACAACAAAGGAGGAGCCGUUCCUCUGCCGCCGCCAGAAUUCCUGGUCGCUGCCGUCGUUCAUGAAGAAAAUUGAGAAUCAAGGAAAGCAUCUUUGUUUAGUAGUAUAUGGCUCGCUGCCACCAGAAACUCAAACAAGGCAGGGAGAGUUGGUAGAUAUGGGACAAAUUUUCCUGUUGGAGAAGUAACAUGCAUAGAUGCAGAGGAUCUACCCUUGCUUAAUUCAUCUUUAAACUCCCCAUCACCCACUUUAAAGGUAACUUGACUUUGAUAACCCUAUAUGUAUGUGUUCCUAGACCAAAAAAGUUGAUGAAGAAGAAAAAAUGAACAAGAAGGCUCACUGUAAGUAUGAAUCACUUUAUAUCAAGCCUUUUGUUGAUAACUUGAUAUGAAUAAAUUUCAUUUCAAGACUUCUAUUUUGAUGAUUUAUGUUUUAACGCUUAAUCUGAUGUAGUGUGCUGGAUUACUUCCUACUUCACACUUUUGCUAUUUUUUGUUUUAUUUACAGGAAAACCAUGUUGAAGGGGAAAACGAACUUAAUUAAGGUCACAAAUUUUGAAGAGCAAAUGUUAGCUAGUAAAAGUCAUGAACUUGUAGACAUGAUGACGAUAAACCUACUUGCUACUUAGCUAUUUCAACUCUCUUUUGUUAUAGUAUUUUUCGCAAAAUUAGAUGAUAUAGUUCAAGGUUGUUAUGACUUAGGCUAGUACUAUAGUAUUUUUAAAAAAGAUGAUGAUAAUUAGAAGUAGUUACGACUUAAACUAGUAUUAUGGUAUUUUGCAAUGAUGAUAUAAUGUGAUUGUAGAUCUUAUGUAUUACUUUAUAAAUCAAAU